rnacentral:pre_miRNA from 1 species
AAUGUACUCCCUUUGUCCCAAAAUUUUUGUCUUAAAUUUGUCUAAAUACAAAUGUAUCAAGUCACGUUUUAGUAUUAGAUACAUCCGUAUCUAGACAAAUCUAAGACAAGAAUUUUGAGACAGAGAGAGUAUUUG